UGUUGCUGAAGAGAAGAUUUGUGCGAGUUUUUUUGUUUAGUGGUAUAGCUAGCUAUAUAUUUGUUUUGCCGUUUGUUAUUGCUAAUUUUUAUAAGCUAUCACAUUUUCUGUUACUUUUGAUUUUCUAAGCAUAGCCAAAUUUAGCUAGCUUAAAAACUUUAUUCCAAUAUUUAAAUUGACAAGGCAACGAAAUUUUUACUCACAAGAGUAUAAAAUUUUCUAGUUUGUUUUGACCUAAAAUAUAUAAAUUUCAAAUAUGAUUUUAUAUUAGAGAGAGCGUGAAAUAGUAUAUAGUAUUUUAUAUAUAUAUAAAGACGAAUUUCAUUGUUAACAUUUUCAGUGAUAGCUAGCUCUUUCAUCUGUAGCUAGCAUUUUGUGGUAGGGAAAAACAAGGGGGUGCUAGAGGUGAAGCAAAGUAAAAGUUAGUCUAUUUCUUCACACAAAUGCAUUCUUAAGGACUCCCAAUUCAAAAUAAAUCAGAAGGCUUCAACCUAAGCUCGAUUCCCACUGUGAUGUAAGUGUGUUUUAAGUAUGUUUUAAAUAAGAUUUUAAACGAGGGUGUCGAUAAGCCGUAUACGCCGUAAAAAGUGCGGGCGUUUUCGGGCAAGUUCGGCGUUUUGAAAAAAAUAUAAGGAUUCGCCUGAAAAAACCCGCAUAGGCCCGAAUAAUGCCCCAAAAAGAAAAAAAACCAGACACUAAUGUGAUUCAAAAAAACUAUAAAAAUUAAAAUAAACUUACAUGUUGUAAUGAAGUUCUUAAAAGAACUGUUUUUGAUGGUUUUUGAUAAAGUUUACUUUAUAAAUAACUUAUAUAUAAACUAUAUUAACUCCUUUCUCUUCAAGCGCCUUCUUCCCAAAUAUCGUCCGCAUGGUUUGUUACAAGGAAUUGCAUUUCGGGAAUGUUCCGGGCGAUUUCGGGAAAGUGCGGGCGAUUUCGGGGGGCAAACGCCAAUUUUAUUCAAAAAGUUGCCCGUAUAUAUGCGGCCGUUUGCAGCUUAUCGGCACCCUCUUGAUUUUAAAGUUAACGCAUAAUGUGAACAUGUUCGUUUUUAAAAAUUUUCCGCUUAAAAUCUGUUUAAACCACAGAUAAAAUAAAACCUUAGAUCAAAAAAUUUUGAUAUUGGGGUUUAAAGUUUAAAGGCGCCGACAAAUGCUGAAGGAGUUUUCAACGCUUAUAGGGCACAUUUUGUGCAUUUUCACGCUAAGACAAAAAAGAGAAUAAAAAAUGGCAGAAAAAAAAACUAAGUUUGGUACAAGAAGAGAAUCUUAGCGUACUUAUUCGCCAAUAUCCAGUGAUUUUUGAUAAAUCACACAAAGACCUCCCUUCACCAAAUCCUAACAUCUUUUUUCCUGCUAAGCAAAUACUAUAGCCAAGGAGGUUACCGCUGAAAAGUAAAACAACGACACACUGGAAUCCAUCUUUUUGAAAUUAGUAAGGUAGCUAUAAAUAAUUGAUUUGUAGAUAGCAUGCAAAUUGUUGCACUAUUACUAAAAAGUAUCUUAAAUAAUAUGUAGCAUAUCUGUGAUCUACUCCAGCUGUUGUCUAUUGUCUGUUCUUUAAAGUGCACAAGUCUCGGUGCUGGUGAAAACGGUAAUAUGGUAUCCUGCAGUGUUGCCAGUCGAGAGAAAAGUGAAAUCAUGGAAUUAGGAUUUUCAUGUAAUAUAAAGAUAUAGCUAACUCUUAACUUUUACCAGUUUAUGGUUUAAUGUAGCUUAUUUUGGAACGUUUUUGUUGAUACUAUGUAGAAUGCAAACAUUUCAUUUAUUUGACUUUCUUGGUGUAAUUUAAAGGACGUAGAAAAAAGCCAAAAGCUUUUAUUAACUGUGGUAGCUGUUAUUCACAUGUGCAGAUCUAUUUCGAGGAAUUGUUUGGUAUUGCAACAUGAUCAAAAUUAACUCAACUGCGACUUAUAAAUAUUUUGGCAUAUUUCUAAUAUUUCUAUUUCAAUAUUUCUAUUUCGAGGAAAUUAAAGUAGUAGAAAUAAAGGAGGCCUAUCAAUAAGGUGAGAGAAAUUGCUUAUGCAAGGGCUCCCCCAACUUUUCUGGCUGAGCAAUAUCAAUUUAUCUCACAUGGAAAUUAAUGGAGAUAAAAUAAAAUAGAUAAAAAAGACUUAAGAUAAAAUAUGCGUUUAUUAACUUAUUCACCCUGUUUAAAUUAUUGUAACCCUGGGGGAUCAAUUUAUUGCUCUGGUGUUAUUUUCUUAUUGAUAGGCCUGAUAAAGGUAGGGACUUAAAUGGAAUCAGCAUGUAAAUGUAAAGGAGUUGAACAGCGUAACUGAAUAAUUGCGAAUAAUAGAAUUAAUUUACAUAAAUUUAAAUAAGUUGAAAAAGCAAUCGUGGAGACAAGUUAUUUAUAUAUUGCGCAACUAUAUGAUGUGUUAAGUUAUAUACAAGUUAUGUAUUUUUAAGGAGGUUCAGGCACUUUGUGUGUGAAAAAGUGUAGCAAAAAAAAAAUAGUACUAUUCAGAUAAGUGGAGACAUUUAUAUACUGAAAGUUUAUGCUAUAUAUUUAGAUCUAAAUAUAUACUAAAGAGAAGGAGUGGUAGCCGGUGGUUGGACAUGCACAAGUAUUACAUACAUGAGCAUCGCAUACAUGGACAUUACAUACACGACUAUUACAUAUAUCAGUGUUGCAUUUUUGGUCACCUUUCAUAUAAUGUAACAACUCGUAUCUCUAAAAACGCUUAGUUGUAUUUUAUGUGAAACUUUGCAUAUUGUAUAGAUAUUAUAUUAUGUAUAUUAACUUUUAUGUUGUACUUCUGCCAUUGGAAGAUGUUUUUACCUAAAGUAUACCUACACCGUUAUCCCUAUUCUCGAAUAUAUUAAAUUAGUGUAGCAUCGACCACAUCUGCCUAAAAGUCGAAAUUAUUAAAAACGAAUUCACUGUCAAAUUAUCUAUUAAAAUACGAAUUAGCUGGUUUUGAAGAAAAUAUAAUUGAAUAUAUGGUGUUUGGUAUUGCAACAUGAUCAAAAUUAACUCAACUGCGACUUAUAAAUAUUUCGGCACGGUUGUAUAGAUCAAAACUUUGACAUGGAUAAGAACUUCCACUUAACCUACAAGAAAAGAAAGCAAGAAAGUAUCGAAAAUACGAUUGUUGGAAGCAUCUAGAUCCUGUUUAACGAAGGAAGAAGUGUUUUUGUUACGUUAUGUUAAGAUCUUAACUGUUUUAAGACAAUAACUGGGAUUGACUGAUCGAGAACAAUUAAUAGAAGAGUAGCAGUAAUGUCGGAUGAGAAACACGAGUUUUUUCUUUACAUAUAUAACCACACUAUCCGUCCUUUUUUUACACAACAUUAAAAAUAUUUUGAAUACAUAUAUUUAUAUAUAUGUGUGUAUUGGGUUUUGUUAUCAGUACACAAUAUAAAAGAAAUAAAUUAUUA